GACGAACGCUGGCGGCGUGCUUAACACAUGCAAGUCGAACGGAAAGGCCCUGCUUUUGUGGGGUGCUCGAGUGGCGAACGGGUGAGUAACACGUGAGUAACCUGCCCUUGACUUUGGGAUAACUUCAGGAAACUGGGGCUAAUACCGGAUAGGAGCUCCUGCUGCAUGGGGGGGGUUGGAAAGUUUCGGCGGUUGGGGAUGGACUGGCGGCUUAUCAGCUUGUUGGUGGGGUAGUGGCUUACCAAGGCUGUGACGGGUAGCCGGCCUGAGAGGGUGACCGGCCCCAAUGGGACUAAGGUACGGCCCAGACUCCAACGGGAGGCAGCAGUGGGGAAUAUUGCACAAUGGGCGGAAGCCUGAUGCAGCAACGCCGCGUGCGUGAUGACGGCCUUCGGGUUGUAAACCGCUUUCGCCUGUGACGAAGCGUGAGUGACGGUAAUGGGUAAAGAAGCACCGGCUAACUACGUG
rnacentral:rRNA from 1 species